rnacentral:rRNA from 1 species
UCUGUCCGAGYGUCGGCUUAUAAACUAUCACUGCGCGUAAUCAGCAGUGGCCUGGAAGAGUGCCAGCUAACGCGGGCCGAGUGCGUGUUGAGGUGGCGUUAGAAUGCGAUGGCUUCUUCUUAACGUGGCUUUAGCGGCGGUGGCGAUGCCGUACUUACGGUCGAGUUGCCGGUUGCCAGGCGGGUCUGUUCCAUCAGUUAUGCUGCAGCGCCGUUUGUGUGUGCGUGUGUGCGUGCUAUGCGGCAGCACCUACGGCGGCAGCAGUGGGACCUGUGGCUGUCGUCGUAGCGAAGGUCGUGGUGGCCGCGGCGGCGGCGGCGGUGGAAGGGCGCUUGGUAACCAUGGGGUCCACAGGCCGUGGCUUAGUGUGUGUGUGUGUGUGCGCGCACGUGGUGUGGACUCUUGUUGGCAGGUGGCGGCCGUAGUGGUGGGAAGUGUUGGUGUCGUCGUGGUCGUUAGUGCUGUUGUUGCUUUGACGCGGCAUAAUGUGCCUGACCUCGGUCAGUCGUGAG